CUUUUUAAUAUAAAUUUUUAUAAUAUUUUUAUAGAGUUUUAAUGUGUCAAUAGAAAUUUUAAACUGAUAAAAGGUUUGAUUUUUGUUUAGUAGUUAAGGCAUUUGUUUCUUCCGCCAUGAAAAAGCGGACGAAAGUUUUGCCACUUUCUCUGGAAUUUCUUUUUAUUAUUAUUAUUAUUUUUUGCUUUGUUCAGACGCGUGCAUCUCUUUGAGAUAUCUAUUGUGAAGAGUACAGCAAAGUAAACGGACCGGUUGGGUCUUCAAUCCAAUCAACGGCAAAAGGACCUACUCCCUCCUAUCUACCUGCCUAUGUCUACAUUAAGCCCUACGGUUGUGCCUAAGGAUACCCAUAAGGUCGGAUACCUGAUUUUUAUCAUGACUAGCCAUCUUCCGACCCGCCAGGGAUCCAAACAGAGAAUGUGUGUUCUUUGUCAUUGUAAUCGGGACUUUUUGGAGGGGGCUCCUAAACAGGGAAAAUGCUUCUGGCUUAGUAGAUCUAUGUUCUUGUUUCUUUUGUUUUACUUAAGAUUAAACUUCCGAUAAUUUAAUCUCCACUAAACUUUCAAAAAAAAAGGUUUUUUUUUAGCAUUGUUAUGCAAAAACGGCGAAUUAUCGUUAAGCAGAUUAGCCUAUAUAAUAAUUGCUCCAAAUUUCUUGCAUAUAUAUUUUGAAUCAUUCGGAUAGAUUUGAAUUAGUUAACUGUUUAUUAAAAAUUCGGGAACACUUAACAAUGCAUAAAUGCAAAAUUUUAUAUCAGCAAACGUGGAAAAAUCUGAG
rnacentral:lncRNA from 1 species